AAGCUCUUUGUGUGGAGUAGGCUGUUUUACACACGGUCCUGUCUUGUCCUGCGCCAGUCAGCCUCUUGCUUGUGCUUCUGGGAAGUGCCAAGAUUCUGCAGCAACUGCCUUCUGCCUAGACCUUGAGCUGCUUCGGAUACCUGCCUACACAAGCUCCAGUACUUGUGGCCACUGCCUAUUCUUACCUGCAUUCUGUGUUUUCCUCUUUUCCACCCCUCUCUACCUUUCUCAUCAUCCCAUGCACAAUGCAAAAAGGAUGGAAAAAGUACUGCGGCCAGAAGUCUUUGAAUGAGGCAUCAAUGGAUGAAUAUUUAGGCAGUUUAGGGCUGUUUCGAAAGGUGGUUGCCAAGGAUGCCUCUUGCCUCUUUCGUGCUAUUUCCGAGCAGUUGUUUCACAGCCAGAUCCAUCAUUUACAGAUCAGGAGAGCUUGUGU
rnacentral:lncRNA from 1 species